CUAAGUUCAGCGGGUAUUCCUACCUGAUCCGAGGUCAACCUUUGUUAAGGGGGGUGUUUUACGGCAAGAACCCGCCGCACGACCAAAGCGAGAUGUAUUACUGCGCUCGGUGUGACUAGCGAGCCCGCCACUGGUUUCAGGGCCUGCGGGCAGCCGCAGGACCCCAACACAAGCAGGGCUUGAUGGUUGAAAUGACGCUC
rnacentral:misc_RNA from 1 species